UGCCCGCUGCGGGGAAACGGGUUGUCUCGUCAGUUAGACCAGGGGAAACUGACGAGACAAGACAAUUUCUCUCCUAACUCUCUGUUUUUUCUUCCUGCUACGCUGGUUUAUGGACAAACUAAGCUACCUAUAUCAGCCCUUGUGGACUCUGGUGCAGAACAAAACUUAAUCUUGAGUGACUUAGUAGAACAACUGGAACUUCCUAUCUCACCCCUCAACCCACCAUGCUCCAUCGCCGGUGUCACUGGACAACUUUUGUCUCAGGUCAACAGACUCGUCCCCAGGUUACACAUCAUUGUGUCUGGCAACCAUCAUGAUCUGGACGAUUCAUCAAGGACUACAGUCGCAUCGCCGCACCUCUCACCCAACUUACCUCCAUAUCCAAGACCUUCUCCUGGACUCCUGAGGCAAACAGCGCUUUUGAAAAGACCUCCAGCACCUUAACCCCCGCCUUGGAAACCGAGCCAAACUCACCUGGAUCUCAUGCACUGCCUCCAACGUAACCCUGUAAAUAUAUCUGCACUUGUAAAAUACUCACAUGUGGAACUUCACCUGUUGGACCUCCUCCUCCAAGUUUCAUAUCCUUCACCAACCUGUCCCGUCCCCAGAUCCCAG